AUUAAAGAGAUAAAAAUACACGGUUAGUUGUUGAAUCUUAUUCACCUUUAGAUUGUGGACUUUCCGUAUCUUUUGUUGUUGAGCUACCAGUGGGUAAUAUAUGUCUUUUGUUGUACAAGUUAAAUUUGUAGUUUUAUAAAAUUAUAAAUAUAAAAAAUGUGACAUGUAUAAGAUUCUAAAAUAAGGCGUGGCUGACAAUUUAAAAAGGUUUGUAUUUUCUAGUACGUUACGUUGAUAUUCCUGACCUAUGUUGAUAUAUUAAUACAGAAUGGAUAAAUUCUGUAAAUAUCUUUACGUGAUGUUCCGUCUGUGAAACUGGUAUAUAAGAUGACUGUAGAACUGUUGUACUUCACAAUCCAGUUUCUGGUUCAGGCUGAAGAAGAUUCACAGUAAAUACAAUAUGAAGACUUUUCUCAUUGUGGCGUGUGUGGUUGUUUGUGCUGCAGCACUGAACGAUGUCAAAGUUCGUGAGAAGAGACAAGCUAAUAAUUACUAUCAGAGGUAUCAGGAAGAACGUCAGGCAUACGCUGACCAGCAACGACAGAUGUACGCUGACCAACAACGACAGAUGUACGACGAGCAACAAGCAGCCUACCAGGAAUAUGAACAACAACAGAGAGAUGACGCCGAGAGACGAUUCGAGGAACAAAUGGAUGCUCGAUAUGGUCGAGGUAAACGUGAAGCUGUCGAUAACACCACUGAAACAGUUUCCACUCAAGAGAACCACGAUAGUUUAGUCCGACAGAAGAGACAAGCGUAUGGUUAUAAUGUAGGAUACGGUGGUUAUGGAGUACCAGCUGAUCCAGCUAUGGUGUAUGCUCAGAGAUUUGGUAGUGGAUACAGUCAAUCAUAUGGUGGUUAUGGUGGGGGAUAUUAUCCUAAUUCACCAUAUGAUGGAAGAAUCUACGGUUAUGGACGAUAAACAAUCAAACUACCUCUUCCUAUAGAACGGACUCUCUUUUUACGAUCGAACUACGUCUUCAUUAUAGGACUGAUGUGUUUAUAAGCGCUCAUCUUCUUGAUAUAGAACAGAUCUUGAUAUAGAACUGAUGUUUGAUAGAGAACCGAUCAUGUUUUUCAAUGUUACGUUAUAGAAAUAAAUCAGAUUAACAAUA